ACACGCCCCCGUUUGCGCGCGGGCGCAGAGGGUGGAGAGGCAGCGCUCGGGCCUGAAGACCGACCACCACCGCUGUGGGGGUGCGUGGG
rnacentral:rRNA from 1 species